GAUGAACGCUGACAGAAUGCUUAACACAUGCAAGUCUUUGGCGAAGCUGUGCUUGCACAGCCUAGCCAAGGCGGACGGGUGAGUAACGCGUAAGGAACUUGCCCUGCAGUCAGGGAUAACAGACGGAAAUGACUGAUAAGACCUGGUAAAGUCAGGCGGACUCAUGUCCAGCCUGAUGAAAAGAGAUGCUGCAGGAGAGCCUUGCGUCCUAUUAGCUUGUUGGUGGGGUAACGGCCCACCAAGGCGAUGAUAGGUAGCCGGCCUGAGAGGGUGGACGGCCACAAGGGGACUGAGAUACGGCCCUUACUCCUACGGGAGGCAGCAGUGGGGAAUAUUGGACAAUGGGGGCAACCCUGAUCCAGCAAUUCUGUGUGCACGAUGAAGGUUUUCGGAUUGUAAAGUGCUUUCAGCAGGGAAGAAAAAAAUGACGGUACCUGCAGAAGAAGCGACGGCUAAAUACGUG
rnacentral:rRNA from 1 species